rnacentral:tRNA from 1 species
GCCCCCGUAGCUCAGCCUGGAUAGAGCACCGGCCUCCGGAGUCGGGUGCGUGGGUUCGAAUCCCGCCGGGGGUACCA